rnacentral:rRNA from 1 species
GAUGAACGCUAGCGAUAGGCCUAACACAUGCAAGUCGAGGGGCAUCACAUGAAGUAGCAAUACGGAUGGUGGCGACCGGCGCACGGGUGAGUAACACGUAUGCAACCUGCCUUCAACAAGGGGAUAACCCGUUGAAAGACGGACUAAUACCCCUAUAACACAGGGGUCCCGCAUGGGAAUAUUUGUUAAAGGACAACCGGUUGAAGAUGGGCAUGCGUUCCAUUAGCUAGUUGGCGGGUAACGGCCCACCAAGGCAACGAUGGAUAGGGGAACUGAGAGGUUUAUCCCCCACACUGGUACUGAGACACGGACCAGACUCCUACGGGAGGCAGCAGUGAGGAAUAUUGGUCAAUGGACGCAAGUCUGAACCAGCCACGUCGCGUGAAGGAAGACGGCCCUACGGGUUGUAAACUUCUUUUGUAAGGGAAUAAAGUGUAGUACGCGUACUAUUUUGCAUGUACCUUACGAAUAAGGAUCGGCUAACUCCGUG